GCGUGGUGACACACACCUGUGGUCCCAGCAACUCGGGAGGCUGAGCUCGGAGGAUUGCUUGAACGGGGCUUGAGACUACAGUGAGCCGUGCUGGUACCACAAUGCUCCAGCUUGGGUGACAGAGCAAGACCCUUUCUCAAAACAAACAAAAAAAAGUGGGGGAAGAUGAAUGCAGUAAACAGAACCCAAAGAACCACUUAAUUAUUAAAACAGAGUGGCAUUUUGGCAUGUCAGCUACCCGGCAUCCAAAAUAAAGUAAAAUGAGCACUUACAUAAUUUUCAUUGUCCUUGAAGAGAACACUCAAGUAUAUUUGGAAAACAAAGUAAUUCUUUUUUAAUUGUUUUAUUUUCGUUUUCUCCUCUACUACUCAUUCAAGAAGGAAAGCAACGUAUUUCUGAAACUUGGCUUCAAGAACGAAUAAUACCUAAGGCUUUAGGGUCUGCCCUUUAGGCUUUGAUUUGAAAAAUCUCAUUCUGCUUAUUCCAUAUAACUUCCCACUUUAUCAAACAGAAUCCAUAGGCUGAAUCAGAAUAGAUUUAGAUUAUUAGUCUGAUCUCUCCUCUGAUACUCUGAAUCAUUGUUCUAUUUCCCUGACCUAUAACCUAUGUCUGAGUACUACCAGUGAUAAUAUAUUAUUACAAAAGCAACCCAUUUCAAUUCACACAGCUCUAAUUACUAAGGUUUCCAUCAUUGUGAAUGAGACCUACAUAUGACUAACUUACAUGAGUCCCAUUUGUUAGAUUUGCUAGAUCAGAUUUUCAAGAGAAGCUAAAGGCAGGGCUCACAUCUGUAAUCCCAGCACUUUGGGAGUCCAAGGCAGGCAGAUCACCUCAGUUCAGGAGUUUGAGACCAGCCUGGUCAACAUGGUAAAACCCUGUCUCUACUAAAAAUACAAAAAAAAUUAGCCAUGUGUGGUGGCAGGCACUUGUAAUCCCAGCUACUUGGGAGGCUGAGGCAGGAGAAUCACUUGAACCCAGGUGGUUUCAGUGAGCCAAGAUCACGCCCUUGCACUCCAGCCUGGGCAACCAGAGCGAAACUCCAACUNNNNNNNNNNCAAAAAAAAAAAAAAAAAAAAAAAGAGAAGCUAGAAAUGUGGAUUUUAUAUACAGCCAACUGUUUAAUGUUUGUUUAAUUUUUGAAAAACAUAUUAGUCCCUGUAAGACACAUCUACUACAAGCCAAGUGUGGCCUACAGACUACUAGUUUGG
rnacentral:lncRNA from 1 species